AGGGCUUUACUGUCUCUUACUUCCAAUCCGUGAAAUUGACCUUCCCGUGAAGAGGCGGGAAUAUGACAAUAAGACGAGAAGACCCUAUGGAGCUUUAAUUAACCGACCCAAAGAGAUCUUGAUAAUCAACCGACAGGGAUAACAUACCUCUACCAUGGGCCGACAAUUUAGGUUGGGGUGACCUCGGAGAAUAAAACAACCUCCGAGUGAUUUAAAUCUAGACUAACUAGUCGAAAGUACUACAUCACUUAUUGAUCCAAAAACUUGAUCAACGGAACAAGUUACCCUAGGGAUAACAGCGCAAUCCUAUUUUAGAGUCCAUAUCGACAAUAGGAUUG
rnacentral:rRNA from 1 species